rnacentral:lncRNA from 1 species
UCCGUCGUCCGUUGCCUCCUCGCCUUCUUGAUGGAGCAGCUCGACAGGAUCAGCCAGCUACCGUGUGUCUCCUCUCUCUCUCUCUCUCUCUCUCUCUCUCUCUCUGCAUCUAAUCCGUCUCACAUGUUUUCUUCAGGGAGUCGCCAUGGAACAACAAUCGCAGCCACCCGCCCACCCCCCGCAUUGGAGCUCACCGCCUCC